UUCCUUAGGUGUUUCUCUUUGUUUUCUUAAAUGCCAAUCUAUCACAACAGUCUCUCUUAAAUUAUAUUGCUGAAUACUUCUAGCUAACCAGAAUGUUCUCUGUGAAACUCUGAAGAGCCCUCCUGCAACUCAGAGUGGCUUCUGGACUCCCUUCCACAGUUCAUAUACCUUGGAGUUGAUGUUACAAUGGGUACUCAGAUGAGAACAGACCAAGAAUAUCUUUGGAAUUAUUUUUGAUGAAGCAAAGUUUUCCUGAAGUCUGUAGAGGAGCAGAAGACAGGAUUUCAUUAGGAAGGACAUGAUGUUGCAAGCUAAAAAGCUGGCUUGGUUGAUGUCAGCAGAUAGGGAUAAAGUGGCAGUAAAUGACAGCAGCCAGGGAGCGUGCUUGCAACCCAGAGAAGAAGAUCUGAAGGUGUCUACUUGACCAUCAUCCUGUUUCUGAGAAGAGCAUCUGGAACAUUGCACCUGAAUCCGGGUGGGAUACAAGGGUGAUCUGGCAGGGUACUUUUGCACUUGGGGCCUUGAAGCAGACUCAGUGAACACUGAGGAGGGGGAGGAAUGAGACUCUGUUGUCUGAUAGAAUAGCUUCAGAAAAGAAAGUACUUCUGUUUCUGCAGCUGCAAAUAACAGUACAGUGGAUCACCUUAAAAUAUGAAUAUAUAGCAAAUACAAUCACUCAUUUCUUUCCUGUGACUAAUGUCCUCUGUUCAUUGAGGUACUGAGGGGUUUUAGAAAAAUAAUUUUGCUGGUUCUGUUUAUAUUGUACAAAUUGUACCUAUUUCAGAUGGGAAUUUGACAACAGAGAUGCUGUCAGCUCCUUUAAAACCCAGGAAGAAACUGAAAGACCUGGUAUCUAACCUAAGACCUGCCCCAGAAGGAGAACUGGAUAUCUUCAGACAGAAGGAUAGUUCUCAUGACAGUAACUUCUCCUAUCUCAGGCUGAAUGAAAGUGGGAUAAGCAUCUCAUAUGUAUGCCUUUUUUUCUAAAGUUUUUCAGAUCUUGAAUUCCUAUUUGUGAUAAUUUUUUGCUUGGAGCAAAUCACUGAAUGUAUAGCAAGAAG